rnacentral:lncRNA from 1 species
UCCAUUCCCCCAAAUUGACCAGACCACCAGUCUGUCACUCGCUUCUCACUGCUGCCAACCGCUGGUCGCCGGUCUUGCCAACUCUCGCCGCCCUCUGCAGUGAGGGCCCUCCAGGCCUCCACGCCAGGUGCCGGGUGUUGGCUGCUGGUGCUUCUCCUUCUCUCACUGCUUCUCCGCUCACGCUGCAUGCUGCCGUGCAGUGGACCGCUGAUGCUGCCGCCGGCUAGUAAACUAAACAGUGAACUGUUGUUGAAGCGUCGAAGGAGCAAGACUGCUGCAAGAGCAAAGGUAUUUUUUCAAAUUAAUUAAAGGAAAAGGAUUCAAUGAUGUUCUUCAUAGACUUGCGUAAUGUUUUGAUUGCCAUGUAAUUUUUUAAGUUAUGUAUUGUGUGCCAAAUCUCGAUAGCCUAACCAUCUAUGAUUUUUGUGCUAUGUACAUCAGUAAUGAAGUACAAUUUCAGAUCCAUCAUUCAUUCAUGCUUUUCGGGCUAUGCUUUUUUAGUAGUAUCGGACAGUCAGCCGUCUUCUGAUUCAGAAAAGAGGUGACAGUGAUUUUGAAUUUUUGGCUCAGGUAACAACCAUGGUCUAGGAGAGCAUAUCUGUAGUUAUUGGUUGUAGGCAUCUUUUGGUCAGUCCGGUGUGUUCUACAGUUGUGGCUAUGGAGCACUUUUGGCCAGUUCGGUGUAUUCUACAGUUGUGGUUAUGGAGCACUGGAUAACAGUAGUAAUUAUCCACAAGACCAGGUAUGUUGGUGUUCCAUUCUCAUAAUUACAGAUAACACUAUAUUUGCUAGGUUAAUUAAGUAAGGUACAUACCCUUGCCUUGAGGCGGAAGGGAGUGGGGUGGGUACAACAUCGAUAACAUGUGAGGUGGCGAUGAGCCCGGCCAGAUGGCUCAUCGUUCCACGGUAGAAGAACAACGGAGCAGGCGCAAAGAAUCUUCAGCAAUAACAGAAAACAAAAAUUACAAUUUUUCAGCUAGACAACACACCAGAACUAUCUCAAUCAUGAACUGACAUCUAAAACACCAGAAACUGAAGAACGUUAUAGCAGCACAAAUCUUCAUCUUCAUAAGAAAAUCAAUCUUAAAUUAGGCAAGGGCAUUGAUAUGCAAAUUUGAGAUAGAAAAAUGUUUAUUUUCCUAGGUAAUAACUCGCAACUGGUCUACGAAUACACUGAAUAAAAAGAUAUGUAGAUUAAACAUGAUAUCCUACUGAUAGAAACGAAUGGAGUUUUGUUCUUGGUUGAAAUCUGCAAGGAGGUACUCCCUCCGUCCGAAAAUACUUGUCAUCAAAAUAGAUAAAAAGGGAUGUAUCUAGAACGAAAAUACAUCUAAAUACAUCCCCUUUUAUUCAUUUUGAUGACAAGUAUUUCCGAACGGAGGGAGUAGUACCUAAAGGCUAAAGGACUCCUCAGCUAGAGGCCACACAAGUAAAGGUAGCCCCUGACAAAGAGCUCAUGCUCUUGUAUAUCUGUUCAGUUUGUGCACAACAUCAAAGCAAUUUGUAAGGUGAUCCUCUCGGGCCAUGUAGUAUGGUUUGCUUACAGUUUUAGCAAAGCUCUCAUAGAUGAUGAAUAAGCAUUAGGUUCUGGGGCAAAAAUGUCUUAAUAUAUAUUCUGAAUAAAUUGUAUCAAUUAAGUUAACUCCAUUAUGUAGGGAUGGAAAAUCAAGCAAAAUGCAGUAGAAAAUGUAUAUUUUACAUAAUUUAACAAGAGUUUCCACAUUUGCCUUCAGAGGCUUGAAAUUACUAAACAAAUCAGAGGAAAAAAUGGGAAGAUCUACAUCGCUUAUUUUAGCAGAUCUAGAUUAUAAGGUGCAAAGGUAUGUUCCAGAGAAUAGCAGUCCUGAAGAACACAGAUGGCCCAAAAUCAAUUGCCUUUAGAGAACUCUUCUUAUUUGUGUGUAACUUGUCUAGUUUAAGGUCCUGAUGGAUGACACCAUUCCUAAUGGCACAUCUGUCAUAAUAUAUAAUAAAAAGAAUAUGUGUCAGAUGUCACAAAACAACCCAAUAUUGGAAGAAACACUUGUGGAACAAAAAUCUGGACUGAAGGUAACAAUCAAUGGUGGAACCCUAUGUAGUUUUCAAUGACAUGACAAAUUUACAUAAUUCUCGGAGAAGCAUGUAGCAUAUUUUGUAUCUCUGGAGUUCAACAUGGCAAUAUUUUGUAUCUACAAUACUUUGUUUCAUCAUGUGUUUUAAAGGUCAGGAACUACCCAUGGUUUGCUGGGGUAGUGAAGGCUGUGGUUUUUUCGAAGGUGGUCCAGGAUAUUCCUAUGAACUGAACAUUAAACAGAUUGGAAAUGAGAAAACACUUGCCACUGCUCGCUCCUGGCAUCGUCCACAACCCUUCCUCAGCUGAAAAGAAUGACAUAAACGUUCAAAAAAAUUUGAGCUCUAAACUCAGUGCAUUUAUUGAAAUCAGACCGCCAAACAUAAUAGCAAAUACAAAUAAAAGUCGAUGCGAGCUCCAGACCUACCGUCAAAAAGAUAUCAGAUAGCUAAUGAAAUUAAGGAUCAUUCUUCAACACAGAUCGGAAUUUUUUUAUUAUUGCUCCUUGAAUUCCUAACUCCUAAGCUCGAGAACGCUCAAAUGCUUCUAUAAAAGCUUUAGACCACCAAUAACAUCAUAAACCAUGUAUGUAGGCAUUGCUCGAAAAAAUCAGUAAAAUAAGCAAACAAAAUCUCAGUUAACCACCUUGUACACAAAACAAAGGACAUUUAAAUUCCGAAACCUGAAGAUAUGCUACAGGAGCACAGGUAUGUUUGAUAGAAACUAAUGUACAUGUAUAUGCAUGAUUACUAAAUAUGGCAAGCCUUAGUUUCGUUUGGAGGAAGUGGUUUGCUUAAGGUCAUUCAUCCUUCCCACUUUACUUAUACAAGUGUGACAACAAAACCAUUACAACACAAGGCAACAAUACAUAUUAUGUGGUAGCAGGAAUAGGAACUUGGGUGUAUUUUAGUUCAGAGAUAUAGAAGUGAUAAGUGAUCUAGUUUAGGGCACAUACUCCCUCCGUUUCUUUUUACUCCGCGUAUAAGUUUUGGUCAAAGUCAAACUACACAAAGUUUGACCAAAUUUAUAUUAAAACAUAUAAACAUCUACAAUACUCAAACUAUAUAAUAUGAAAAUACAUUUGAUGGUGAAUCUGAAAAUGUUGAUUUCAUAUUGUGAAUGUUGAUAUAUUUUUAAUAUAAAGCUAGUCAACUAUGCAAAGCUUGACUUUGACCAAACCUUAUAUGCAGACUAAAAAGAAAUGGAGGGAGUACCAACAAGUAGUUACAAGAGAAAACAUUUGUUCACAGUAAGUUAGUAACCCUAAAGGAUCUACCUACUCGGAGAAAUUCAUAAGAACAAAACUGCAUAUACAGUAAAACACAAUGAGCUUUGAAUCAAAGUAUAACUAUUUGAAAAUCUUUGGAGAAGAUCAAACAAUACAUCCUUGCAUCACUACUCGGGGUCACUAACGGAGGCGCCAAUUCCUUCGAGCAGGGGAAAGGGGAAUUGAAGGUGCCAAGCACAAGAACUGGAAGGGGGGGGAUGAAAACCUCAAACCCUACCAUUUGAAGAGCAGAGGAUAUAUAUUUAGGCACUCACAGAAAUAAUCACCGGAGGGCAUGUACAGAUACAAGUAGGUGGUGGCAUCGCCGUCUCAGCUUGGUUGUCCAAGCAACACAGAAUGUCCUGAUCACCACAGUUGCAAUUGAAAGUGUUUGCAACUCUACGAAUUAUAUAUAUAUGUAUAUAUAUAUAUAUAUAUCCAAGGAUUUAAUUAGGAGUUUAUUCUGCACAAUUUCUGAGAACACACACUCACAAGCAAUUCGUUGAGUAGACACCUUAGAAAUAAAAUUACAUUGUGAAGAAUACUAUUUAUCAAACAGGUGAAACAAACUAAUCAGGUGCAUCUUCGUGAGCAAAGAAAAAGGCAGACCAAAAUCUAUAGGAUAUGAGGCAGGCAGGCAGGCAGGCACUUCCAUCCCUAGAGGGGGCGUUGAGGGUCGGCGACCAUCACCUUGACGCUCGGCCCACGGGACUGCCAGGCAGGCAGGCAGGCAGGCAGGCAGGCACUUCCCAUCCCUAGAGGGGGCGUGGAGGGUCGGCGACCAUCACCUUGACGCUCGGCCCACGGGACUGCCAGGCAGGCAGGCAGGCAGGCAGGCAGGACAAACAAAAAUAAUACAUAGGGCACAACAAUGACAAGGCAUUUCUAGAUGCGAAAAUUGUAGUGCAAUUAGAUGAAAAAAUAUGAGCCGGACAUGAACACUCGGUAGGCUAAUUAACCAGAGGAAAGAAACGGCCACGACCUAAACUUUGAAUCUCACUUACGUCUCUAUUCCUCGCCCUUCUGCUACCUCACAUCCCAAUCCUUUUUCCCUUCCCUCUGUAUCUUGCCACACGACCAUGACGGAUUGCGGUUGUUCUUGGCCAAUCUCUACAAAAAUCAAUAAGCAGAGAAGCUGAACCAAUCUCUACAAAAACCAAAAGAAAAAAAUGUGCACACACAAGCACAUAUCAGCCAGUUCUAGCAUGCAUCCAUCCAUCAAAGCAUUAAGCCAUCAGCCAUCCAUUAGAGAAGUGAAAAAAGAAAGGAUUCAAACUUACACAUCAAUCCAUCUAAGCAUUAGGCCAAAGCCAGUGGGAGCGAAGUGCUCUGAUGAAUCCGCUUUGCACAACUCUGAUCCCCUCGCGCAUCUCGGCGGCGACGCAACCCCGGCCCCUUCACUUACCUCUACUGCGGCGCUAACCUGACCGCCUUUCUCUACCUUGUCCCUUCUCACGUCGCCCCCGAUCGACAUCCAGACAAAGGGCGCAUGCGGCUUGGCCCAAGCUGUGCGUGGCAGUGGAUCCACGGCGGCGGCGGCAGCGUCCUGGGGAUGCUAAUCCGUGACGGGCGAUGUAUCCUAGGCUAGGUGGGAGAGAUUGCUCUUACUUUACACAUUGAGAGAGACAGACACAAGGGCUUGAUUCGUUCCUCACAUGCAGGCUAGGCGGGAGGAUUAGAUAGCUGUUGUUGCUGUUUUUUCAAUCUCCCCUCAAGUCUUGUGUAGACUACUAGUGAGAUUUAAUCACACUGCGUAUAUAUGCUCAACCAAACAUGGCCAAUUCAAGCUGCCGUAGGAAAUAAUCUAAUCCAUGAUGGAUUAUGCGCCAGUUUAUCCUCAUCCUAGAUCCAUCACUACCACUAAUCGACACAUCAGCAAGCUGCAGUCUUGGUAGGGAGGGGAAAGGAAGGAGGAAGAGGCGUACCUUGGGCGUACAGGUCUGUAGCCCGACGAGAGGGAGAUGCUGCAGAUGUCGCCGGCGUCGAGGUCCACCGCGGCAGCAAGCACCCUCAUAUGCCUUACCCCAGCACCGAGAGCAGGGGUUGGAUCCCGAAGCUGACGGCUAGGCUUGGGUUCGUCGUCGGCCUACAGCCCGACGGGAGGGAGAUGCUGCAGAUGUCGCUGGCGUCGAGGUCCACCGCGGCAACAAGCACCCCCAUAUGCCUUGCCCAAGCACCGAGAGCAGGGGUUGGAUCCCGAUGCUGACGGCUAGGCUAGGGUUCGUCACCGACCUCCAUCCGGAUGCUGCGGAUGCGGAUCCGGCGGCGUUAUCGCCGUAAUAGAUUCGUGGCCAUCUCUGCCGCCCCAUCAUCCGGAUCCUCGGGAGAGGAUGAUCGGAUCGGAGGGUGGCGGCAGCGAGAUCGCACGAGAGGACGGCGGCUCUGUGUCGUCUAGGGGAUCGAUAGGUAUGGUUUUUUGGCUGCAUAGGUGGGAGGGGUGGUGGGGGGAGGGGGACGGAAAAAAACCGGAGGUGGGAGGAUGAUGAAAAAAACCCAGCGAAAAUAAACCGCGUAGACUAUUCACCAAGUCGUCCAUUAGGAGUAGAGAUCAUCAAUAUUAAUGAAGCAGGAAGUAGGGUUUUACCUCCAUUGAGAGGGCCCGAACCUGGGUAAACACAUGUGUCCCUUACUUCUUGCUACCAUCAGCCUUGACGCACAGAUCGGGACCCCCUAUCCGAGAUCCGCCGUUUUUGACACCGACAAUGCUCAUGAGGUUCAUCUGAUCUUGCCAAGUCCUGUUGUGUCAGCAGUGCUUCGGAAGUAGUGUUAGGUGUGAAGGCAGCUUGGGAACUGGCCAGUUCCGGAGCAAACGAACGAGUACCUGAUUGAGAUGCUGGUACAGUUGAAGCGGAUGUUGCAGCUGGUGGAGCAGGUGAUACUGUGUUUGUAGAUUUAGCCGGUGGACUUGGACCUUCUACUGCACUAUAAGUACCAGCAGAAUCCCGACGGCAGAACCUUUUCCGUUUCACCUGACGAGUAACAACACUCCCUACUAUAUUAUUUUCCUUGCUCUUUUUUGACUUUGCCAUGUCAAACUGUACCCACAACACAAAAGAAUAAAAUCACUCUUCAGAACUCAUUGAUGCAUGAUACAGACAAGCAAUACUUUGAUGGAAGACAACGGUAUGAGGAUGGAAUAUGUAAGAAAAACAGGAUGACAUGACAUAUUCACAGCUACGAUGUGCAAACUAAGCAGAAGGAUUUUAAAGAAAAUAGAAGUAAUGCAAGCUAGAUACCAUAUGAAAGAUGCAACCAAUAUUACUCUGCCAAGUUAAAAGUGUCUUGUCAUAAGUGGUAAUUCGAAAAAUUAGAAGCAGUACAAUGUAGAAAUCAAUGCAAGAUGCAACCACUAUCAAACUGCCAUGUUAAAAGCAUCCAAUCAUAAGUUACUGAUGCAGGAUACACAACAGCAGUACUUUGAUGUAAGAACAUGGUAUGAUAGAUAGAUGCAGUGUAUUCUAGACACAGAAAACCAUGUCAUAUGCACAUGUAUAACGUAUAAACUCAGCAGGUGCAAUUUAAUCAAAAUAGAAGAAAUACAGGCUAGACAACAUAUGCAACAUGAAACCAAUUAUCACACUGUCAACUUAGAGAAAGCACCUGCGAUGGUGGAGUGCGGGAGAUGAACUCAUCAUGUAGACUUGGGACUUCAACUUCAUUAGCAGUAGCAGUGGCGAAUCUAGAGUCUCUGUUUGCGUCGGUGUGGAGUACCACCAACAUCCCCUAACUUACUCUUUUCUUUCCUAUUUUCUGAUAUUGCCUUAUGAAGUCAAAACCACAAGAGGAUGAAUAAAAUUAGCUCUGCAUAACUGGCUGAUGCAUGAUACAGACGAACACUAUUUUGAUGUAAGGCAAGCGCAGGAUAGGAGGAUGGAAUGUAUACAAAAAAAGACAGUGUUUCAUAUUCACACGUACGAUAGAAGGAUGGAAUAUGUAUGAAAAAAUAGUAAGCGGAAGGCAUUUCAACAAAACUAGAAGAAAAUGAAAGCUAGGCAUCGUAUGAACAUGCAACCAAUAUCACUCUAUCAGGUAAAAAGUGUCUCGUCGUAAGUGCCAUUUCAAGAAAUUAGAAGCAGUACAAGCUAGAAGACAAUGCAAGAUGCAACCUACAUCACAGUCCCAAGUUAAAUGUGUCUUAUGGGUAAGUGAUUGUUGCAGGUAUAAGUUGUAAGCUAUGCAGAUGCAAUUCUACAUAAUCAGAAACAAUAUAAACUAGACAUCAUACGAAAAACGCAACCACGUAUAACAGUUCCAAGUAAGAGCAAGCACCUGUGAUGGUGGAGUAGGGGAGAUGUGCUCAUCAUGUACAUGUAUGUUCUAGAAACAGGAACACGUGUCAUAUUCACAGGCAUUAUGUGUAAAGUAAGAAGAUGCAAUUCAAGUUAUAAGCAAUACAAGCUAGACAUCAUGCGCAACAUGCAACCACAUAUAAUAGUGUCAAGUUAGAGCAAGCACCUGUGAUGGUGGAGUAGGGGAGAUGUGCUCAUCAUCUACACAGCUACGUUGACUGUCCAUCCUUGUGUUGUCUUGCGAAUCUUGUUGGGAGGAUGGCGGAGUAGAAUCUGUAGAGACCCCCUGUUUGAGUUGCUCCGAAGGACCACCAUCAUCCACUGCCGGACUAAUUUCCUUCAGCUAUAAUGAUAAGAAAAAGGAAUAAAAUUUGCUCUUCAGAACUCAUUCAUGCAUGAUACUGAUGAACACUACUCGGAUGAAAGACAAACACAUGAUGCGAGGAUGGAAUAUGUAUGAAAAACAUGAUGGUGUGACAUAUUCACACCUAUGAUGUGGUAACUAAGCAAAAGACAUUUCAACAAAUUAGAAGCACUGCAAGCUAGACACCAUAUGAAAGAUGCAACCAAUAUCACUCUGCCAAGUUCAAACUGUAUGGUGUUUCAACAAAUUAGAAGCAGUAUAUGCUAGAAAUCAUAUGCAAGACAUAACCAAUAUCACAGUGGCGACUUAAAGGUGCCUUAUCAUAAGUGACUGAUGCGGGAUAUGCAAGAAUAGUAGUCUGAUGUAGAAACAGGAACACAUGUCAUAUUCACAGGCAUUAUGUGUAAAGUAAGCAGAUGCGAUUCAACAAAGUUAGAAGCAAUACAAGCUAGACAUCAUAUGCAACAUGCAACCACAUAUAAUAGUGCCAAGUUAGAGCAAGCACCUGUGAUGGUGGAGUAGGGGAGAUGUGCUCAUCAUCUAUACAGCUACAUUGACUAUCUAGCCUUGCGUUGUCUUGCGAAUCUUGUUGGGAGGAUGACGGAGUAGAAUUUGUAGAGAACCUCUGUUUCAGUUGCUCGGAAGGACCACCAUCAUCCAAUGCCUUGCCAAUUUCCUUCAGCUUUAUUGAUUUUGCAUUGUGAGGUCAUACCGACAAGAAAAAGGAAUAUCAUUCGCUCUUCAGAAGUCAUUCAUGCAUGAUACUGACGAACACUACUCUGAUGAAAGGCAAAGUCAUGAUACGAGGAUGGAAUAUGUAUGUAAAAAUGGACGGCUUGACAUAUUCACACCUAUGAUGUGGUAACUAAGAAGAAGGCACUUCAACAAAUUAGAAACACUGCAAGACACCAUAUAGAAGGUGCAAUCAAUAUCACUCUGCCAAGUUAAAACUGUCUGGUCAUAGGUGGCGUUCAUCAAACUAGAAGCAAUACAUGCUAGAAAUCAUAUUCAGGACGCAAACCAAUAUCACACUACCAACUUAAAGGUGUCCCAUCAUAAGUGACUGAUGCAGGAUACACAAGAAGAGUAGUUUCAUGUAAGAACAUAAUAUGAUAGACAGAUAUAGUAUGUACCAAAAACAGGAAAGCGUGUCAUAUUCACAUGUAUCAUGUGUAAGCUAAGCAGAUGCAGUUUACACUAAUUAGGAGCAAUGCGAGCUAGACACCAUAUGCAACAUGCAACCAGAUAUCACACUGCCAAGUUAGAGCAAGCACCUUGGGUGGUGGAGUAGGGGAGCAGAGACUUGGACCUUGUAAUGCACUAUCAGUACAAGGAGAAUCGGUACAGAUGCUCCGUUUACAUUGCUGUAGAGGACCACCAUCAUCGCCUUCCUUACUCUUUUCCUUCCUUUUUCUUUAUGUUGCCUUGUCAAGUCAAACCCACAAGAAAAAGGAAUAAAAUUUGCUCUUCAGAACUUAUUGAUGCAUGAUACUGACGAACACUACUUUCAUGCAAGGCAGCCGCAUGAUAGGAGGAUGGAAUAUGUAUGAAAAACAGGACGACGUGACAUAUUGACAUGUAUGAUGUAUAAAGUGUAAACGAAGCACAAGGUGCUUGAACUUGUUAGAAUCGAUGCAAGCUAGAAACCAUAUGAAAGAUGAAACCAAUAUCACUCUGCCAAAUUAAAAGGGUGCCCUAACAAAUGUAUUUGACCAAAUUAGAAAAAAUACAUGGCAACAUGCUAGAAAUAAUAUGCAAUAUGCAACGAAUAAAGGUGACUCAUCGUAAGUGAUUGAUGCAGGAUACAGAAGAGUGGUAGUUUCAUGUAAGAACAAGGUUAACACAUAGAUGUAGUGUGUACCAAAAAUAGGAAGGCAUGUCAUAUUCACAGGUAUAGUGUGUAAACUAAGAUGCAAUUUACCCUAAUUAGAAGCAUUACAAGCUAGACACCGUAUGCAACAUGCAAUGACAUAUCACACUGCGAAGUUGGAGCAAGCACAUGUGAUGGUGGUGUAGGGGAAGUGCUGUCUUCAAGUAAGAGCAACAUUCAAUAUCUUCAUUUAGGCUUGAUGUUUCUUAAGAAUCAUGUGGAGAGGAUGAAAUUGCAUUCUUUAUAAGAGUAUUGCGUCUCAUAUUAACCCACGCGCGUGACUGUCUCAUCAUAAGCGAUAGACGCAGGAUACACAAGAACAGUAAUUUGAUAUAAGAAUAUUGUGUGAUAGGCAGAUGUAGUAUGUACCAAAACAGGAAGGCGUGUCAUAUUCACACGUAUAAUGUGUAAGCUAAGAAGAUGCAAUUUAACAAAUUAGGAGCAUUGAUGAGGGAUACACAAGAAAAGUAGUUUGAUGUAAGAACAUGGUUAAUAGAAAGACGUAGUAUAUUUCAAAAACAGGAAGGCAUGUCAUAUUCACAUGUAUAAUGUGUUAACUAAGCAGAUGUAAUUUACCCUAAUUAGAAGCAUUAUAAGGUAGACACCAUAUGCAACAUGCAACCACAUAUCACACUGCCAAGUAAGAGCAAGCACCUGCGAUGGUGGUGUGGGGGAAUUGCGGUGAUCAACUAGAGAGCUACGUUGACUAUCUUCAUUUAGCCUUGUUAUUUCUUGAGAAUCAUGUGGGGAGGAUGACACUGCACUCUUUAAACGACUAGGGCAUCUCAUAGUAACCCACCUGGUUGACUGUCUCGUCAUAAGUGAUUGACGAGGGAUACAAAAGAGCAUUAGUUUGAUGUACGAACAUGGUUAAUAGACAUAUGUAGUAUGUAUCAAAAACAGGAAGGCAUGUCAUUAUCAAAGGUAUAAUGUGUAAAGUAACCAGAUGCAAUUUAACCAAAUUGGAAGCAAUACAAGCUAGACACCAUAUGCAACAUGCAACCACAUUUGACAGCGCAAAGUUAAAGCAAGCACCUGGGAUGGUUGUGUGUGGCAAUUGAGAUCAUCAACUACAGAGCUACUUUUACUGUCUCCAACUGCUGACAAUGCACCCAUUAGAGCGCUGAAACGCUUAGUGCUUAUCUUCGAAUUACACUGGAGCGACUUCUGUCUUUUCUUUUCUGCAUUCAUCAACACUGCGUCAGAGUCUGAAAUACCCAUGCAUAAAAAACAAUAGUGUGAGUAUGGGUGAAGUGUGUGCACAAUUAGUACAGUGUAAAGGUAGCAGAUAGCAGGUCGGUGAGAACUAAAUGAUGUGAGACAUAUGAUAGCUGUACAGCAUGCAUGGCACACUCAAUUACUACAGGAUUUUAUGAAAAUAACAGCCGACUGGAAGCAAAUAGGUCAGUCCAUUUUUUCUGCACCGUCCGAUGUACAAAGAAUGGGCUGAUCGCCUUCAUCUACCUUCAGCCAGCCAGUGGUGACUAUCUUCCUCGAAACGCCAGCGACCACCGGCCCAGUAUUCCUCCCCUGCCUGCGCCCUCCCCUCGACCUACCGCACCGCUGUGCUUGGCACCGCCCCCAGCCAUCCAUUCAAGCCCCGCUGACCUCCAGAUCGAGCGCAAGCAGCUCCUGCACCCCACACCCCUAUGAUAGACACCGAUGUGCCGCUUCCCCGGGGAACAGGCGGACUAGGUGCUCCGUGCGCCUAAGCAGGUGCUGCUUCUUUUAAUUGCGGUUCGACUGACCCUGAAUUGAAAUCCAGGCGGGCUACUGACCUCUAGCAAAGGUGAAAUAGUAAAAGGGAGGAAACCUUGUGCAUUUAGUAUCACGAAGAAGAUGCAGUAAGAAGCGCGCAACUAGUUUAUUUUAUGGGAUGAAUACGGUGUGAGCGGAGACGUAAGAUUUGCACGAAUAAGGGAAGAGGAGUACCUCUUUCUGCUGGCAGUGCUGUGUCCUCCUUCUGUUUUUCCGACGAUCUUGUUGUUCGCCGAAAACCAGAAGUUGGAGAGGAUGGUGCAGCCUUGAAAGAACCCAUGGCCAAGUUGAGUGUGGUGCGGUGGCCAUCUGUCGGCGGCGGGGAAGCGGAUCCAAGGCGGCGAACGGCGGCGUAGCGGGAACAGCUCCGGUGCGGUGAACAGUUGCGACAGUGGAGCCACAGCAGUGAGGCGCAGGACGGCAUGGUCAGAGUGGUUCUGGUACGGCGCAUGUCGGCGUCGGCAUCAUGGAGGCAGCUCUGCCUCGGCUUCAGCUGCUAAGUCCUUGAGGGCAUUGCGGUUGCGUUGGACGACAACGUCGGGGUACCAGCUCCAGCGUGAUGGAGGAGGGCGGCAGUGGAUUGGCCGCUAUGGGGUGGAGGACGGAGGAGGCUGGGGUUUCGCGGCUGGUGGUGAGGGCGUUUUCACGUCCAUGGAGUAUGAAUGGGGAAACAGAGGGAGGCGAGGAAGUAAGGGGGAACAAUGUUUCGGUUUGAGACGCGCUUGUUUGAAAUUUGGGGAAAGUUACAAACUUUGCCCCCAUCUAAAAUUUCGGACAUAUUGCGGGUUGGGGGUAGGACAGUCAUGUCAGGUGUCCCAAAUGUGGGCGUUAUAGAUUUCGGCUGAGCACAUGGGUGUUUAGGCGCCCACGGCGUAUGAAUGCUUCUCGGAGGCGGUUGAGACUGGCGUCUUGGUGAAGUUACAAACCUACCCCGGUUUAGACCUUUGGACAUUGGGCCGAUAGGCUACAUGGGCCAGAGUCAGGACAUUAAUUUCCUACCACCAAAACAUUAGUCUCGCGCGGUUUCGGGUGACCAGAGGCCUAUUUGGCGCUUCGUUCAAUAUUUGGGAGCAGAAGCAUUAACGUUUUUGGUUCUCUUGAAUUGAACUUUCAGGAUUUGUCAGACUUCACAAAUCUUCACUCUUGAAAAUCCUAAAGCUACAAUUAUUUUGGAAUGAAGGGGGUACAUUUUAAUAUACAUUGUACAUGAGCAUAUAUUAAAAAAUAUGCAACUUACCUCAGUUCAUGCAUGGUUCCAGAUAUAAUCUCCUUGGUUGCAAAAAAAAGUUAGAUAUGCGUAUGAAUAUAUAUAGCAUGUUCAAACUCACAACAAAGAUUGAUGCCCCUUUUACAUCUGAUUUACAAAUGCCAUUAUCUCGGGUUCAAAUAGAUGAAUGCACUUCCUAUGAAUUCGAAUCGUCGAAACCCCCUUUAUGCUGAAUUCGACAUGUAUUUUAUUUCGUAGCUAGCAAUUUGGAAUGUAUCCAUGCAAGUGACAAAUGUAUAAAGUGCUUCACACUAACAACAUGGAGUGCACUAAUUAAUGUUUAUAUAUGAAUUGCAAAAGCAUCCAUUGCCUGUAUUUCAAACCACUCUCACUCUAUGGAUCGAUAAUAUGAAAUAAACACAUGCACAUGCUAGAAUUCAAUAGAGUAUGGGUGUCUGAUAGACCGAUUUUCGUCCAUAUGCAAUUUUGCAAAAUUCAUGAUCUCAUCCAAAAAUAAUAAUGCCAUUUAUAUUUUAAUUUAAUGUGUAGAACUGCCUUUUACACGUAUAUGCACUAUGCCUCGCCCCGUUCUCACAAACGCGUUAUAUAUCUCUCUAUCUAACGCAUAAGUGCACACACUUUAUAUGCAUCGGCAUUUCUCUUUCACACAUGCUCACAAUCUCUCUCAGGGUGUCACGGUGUCUCACGCACAUGCUCUCUCUGUUUCUCUCUCUUUCUUUCUGACUACUAUGUACCACUCUUUUCACUAAUCUCAGUUGGAAAACACUAUUUCUCUCACAUGCAUAUAUACACAUGCACUGUCUCUACUAGCCCUCUAUAUGCACAUAUAUAUGUGCUGACGUAUCUCCCGCACGCACAUUAUCUUUAGGCCUCUCUCGCACACAUUGCCCCCUGACAAACCUCUCUAAUAGUAGUUGGCAGAUAUGAUUUCAUCAUAUCAUUCAGUAGGAUAUCCCUGGCUGUUAGGCUGGAUGGUAAUACGAGGCAAAGUUUUACCCUAGUUUGGAUCGGACCCUUGCAGUUGAAGAAAGAGCCUACUCCUGGUACUGUAUAUUAGUGAUAGGGGUGUGUACAAAGUGCACGUGAAUACCAGGGAUUGUGCGUGUGUGUAUACUAUCGACGAACUAGCCCCCAAGCUUGUAUAACAUACUAAGGGCCUAGGGUUACAAAUCAUAUACAGUCGGCUUAUCACCAGUGGGGAUAGAGUCCUCCGCAACUCUGGUAGUUUCGUGUUGUACGCCGAGUCCUCCACAUGGGUCUUCGUAUAACACGUCUCGGUCCAACCUAUAUGUGGCAUAGGAUGGAACCGAGCCAUGAGUCUUCAUGUUGACCCACCACAACUAGAAAUGAUGUGCCCACCACACCACACACACAAUCGGCCACUAAGAAAAUAAGCAUAUACAAUAGUACAACAGUAUCUAGCUCACGAUACGUCUCCAUAUUAUGUUGAUGACACUGACGGACUUUGCAUUUGAUGCGUGCUCCAUAUUUUUGACGACACUUACGGUCAUUGUAUUUGAAGCGGAAGCACGAUAUGGUCACUGGACUUCAGAAUAAGCUCAUCACGGUCACCACAUACAUUUUGUCGUGCUAACCAACAUGUGGUUGGAUGGUUAGAGGACAGUGGUUUCUCGAGCCCACCAAGGUUAAAGUCCUGGUGCUUGCAUUUAUCUUGUGUUAAUUUCAAUAUUUUCCGACGAUGUACGUUCAGUGGGAGGAGACGUUCCACUCGACUACGAGGCACCUAUGGUGACUUCGUAAAAUCUCAAGAUCAUAUAUGCUGGCCCACUCUCUCAAAGGUGCUCAUAGGGGUAGGGUUCACGUGUGUGCGCUUAUAGCGGUGAGUGCUUGCGUGUAUAUAUGAGCCCUUGCGUCUGUACCAUGUUAAACAAAUACAUGUCAUGAUUAUACUAUCACUGGCUCACCCGUACAACUCCGUAUUUUGUUGAUGACACAAUCAAUUGACCAGUCAAACGACACAACUAGUGUUGCACCAUUGGGGUGCGUAACCAUGGGGCCCACCUGUCAGCCCGUAUAUGAAAUAAAGAAAUGGUAGUUUGAGUCUGUACUGUGUUAAUAAAAUAGGAGUACAUUUUAGGUUUAUCAUACGGUCACUGGCUCAUCAUACAGCUCCGUAAUUUGUUGAUAACACGAUCAAUUGACCAGUCAAACGGUCCACAUUCAGCAGCACACAUUACCAUAGGGCCCACCCGUCAGCACGUAUAUGAAGGACAUAAAUGGUAAUAAACUAGUGGUCGGUCGAUAUUCGAAGUCGUGAGACCUCUGGUUGGCAGUCACCGGCAGUUGGGGGGCGUUCAUUGGGAGGUGGGGUNNNNNNNNNNNNNNNNNNNNNNNNNNNNNNNNNNNNNNNNNNNNNNNNNNNNNNNNNNNNNNNNNNNNNNNNNNNNNNNNNNNNNNNNNNNNNNNNNNNNNNNNNNNNNNNNNNNNNNNNNNNNNNNNNNNNNNNNNNNNNNNNNNNNNNNNNNNNNNNNNNNNNNNNNNNNNNNNNNNNNNNNNNNNNNNNNNNNNNNNNNNNNNNNNNNNNNNNNNNNNNNNNNNNNNNNNNNNNNNNNNNNNNNNNNNNNNNNNNNNNNNNNNNNNNNNNNNNNNUUCGGGGAGCGCGGGCCGGCUGCGGGCGGCGGGGGCGGGCGGUUCGACGGGUGGUGGCUGGCCGCUCAGGGGGGGUGGAGUUUGAUGAUAAACCGGAGGCCCUUGAUUUCGUAUCCAACGGAUGGAAAAUCUAAUGACCAGAGAUAAAAAAGUCAGUCGACUGACGUGUAGCCUCACCCCGCACGUACACAUGCAUGCAUGCAAGACACGCACGCAUGUAGGCGUGCUACACUGACACGUACACAUAACGUACACACGCACGCAUGCUGGCAUGCAACACUGACACAUACACAUGCACUCAUGAACACACGCACGUACGCACCCAUGCAUGCAACACUGAAACGCACCCUUGCACGCACGCAACACUCGCACGCCUGCAUGCACACAGCACAGGACGCAAGACACACGCUCAACCUAUACGUGCAUGCACCCUUUGUUAAGGACAUGGAUUGUUAUGGGUAUUAAUCAAUCUUAUCUGUGAUAAGCAGAACAUUGAUGUUUGCAUCAGUUUUUAUGAAUCACAACGUAUCGAACGGGCUAUAAACAUAGUAGGCUUAACUACAUGAAAAAGAUGACGUCACACUAAAUGAACAAUCAUCGGUUUAUGAAAUGCCCGCUUCUGACCGCCCUGGCCCACCAAAGGUUCCUCUGCUGUGCGCUGCUUGCGUUGGGUCACUGACAUGCAGGCCAUGCACCCAAAGAGCCCACACGUCAGUGGAAGAACGGCGUGGUGUCCUAGGUCAGAGUUGAGGGUGCCACUCGUGGCACACCCAGCUGAACACGCCUCCGUGCCGCAUUCAAACGCCUCCAUGAAACCCGCCCGUGUGGAAGCCGAGAAACCCACUCUGGACACACGUCCAUUCAUGACCGGGCCGGCGUUAAACGCAAUGCCGUCCGAGCUCCUCCCGUCCACUGUCUAUUCAAUCUCUUAUUUAAACGAGGCCAAACACCGGCCAAGAAUCGCACACCUCCGCCGCUCCCCUAUCUCCUCCACCAUUUUGUCCACUCUUACAAUGGCUUAGGAAGAGUAGUUAUUCAGCAUCCAAGCCGGUUGGGUAGCCCGCCGGAUACGAGCUAUGCAGCUCGCUGAUCAACCUCCCUUCCCUCGCCCGACGGAGCCAGUUGCCGCCCCAAGCCGGCGCGCGGUUCAGCAACUCGCCGCUCCAGGCCAGCUCGACGAGGAGCGGCGCAUGGGCGUCGUUGUUGCCGUCCACGCCGCCGCCUCGUACCGCGUCUCCCAUUUCUGUGGCCGAGACUCCCAUGCCGGCGGCCGCGCCAUGCAAGCAGUGAUAGAAGCCGGGUGCGCAGAGAGCGGCGAGUCGGUGGCCAGCGCCUCCGCGUCCGCUGCCAUCAUCAAGGAGAAGUAGAACAUGGGAGGCCGCCGCCGCUUGGGUCCCAUGAAGGCCACCACGGAGGCGACGCCGGCAUACACAGCAGGUGUCUUGCCUGAUCCUUUUGUUACGAGGACCUUCGUCGACCCCGCAUGGGCUCCAUGGAAGAGGGGAAUGUUAGGAUGAACUCGAGCUGGUGCCGGCCAUGGCGAAGUAGUGGCCGGUGAUGAACUCGAACCGGUGCCGGCCACCAUCAUCUUUGGCACCAGCCAAUGAUAUCAGUUGGGCAGUGGGGAAGUGAGCCGUCCUUUGCGCUGAAGCAUAUACCUCCGGGGCUCCCGGCAGUCCGGUGAUCGUGCUGCCGGACAUGAGGAACACAAAUUGAUCGGCGGGCGACCAUUUAGGCCAGGUAUUAUAUACCUGUGCUGUCCAGAACUAGCACCGCGUAGUUCAUUUGAAUGUAAUGAAAUCUGUCAUGUUUGUGUGAAAAUUCGGUGUUUUAUAUGAUUUCCGUCGUUGUUUAUAUGAAAUAUCAGUUUGUCUACGUGUUUGCGUGAAUUUCGUCCGGUUGGUUGAGUUGCUGUCAUAAUGUGUAAUUUGCGGGUCGCUAGUCGAUCUGCGGGCGGCUCGGGCGGUGUUGUGGGACAAAAAAACACAGCUCGUGUGAGCUCUUCUCCAACGUGUGCGCUGGAGGAUGCAUGACAGCAUGAGCACCCGAGCCAUUCCUCGUUCAUCGGUGGACAAAAGUGUCGCCAAUAUUUUGGCUACCCCAGGCAAGAUCCAAACAGCCCCUCCCAACAGAUUCAAAUCCCUCGUUCGCCAUGGAAUUUUGCCAUGUGUUGUUUUCAUGGACUAGCAACAUGCCCGUGCAUUGCACGGAACAUCAAGAUGCAUUUUUUUACAAACUCCCGCAUGCAUGCAAGGGAUAAUUAAUGUCCUUCUUUGCUAGUACCACGAGGCAAACACCAUUAAUAUUGCAUCGAUUAGUGUUAGUGGCCUUGUAUAUCUGCAAAUUGUAAUUUUGAUAGUGGCCCCUUGUAUAUAAAAAUGGAGGGAGAAAUAUGAGAGAUAAGGUGAGGAGGAGUGGGGCGUGGUGCCGUGGUGGUGACUAGUGGUCGGACUGGGCGGAGGCAUGGGGAUGGACGGCGCAUUAUGUCUAGGUUUGUAUCUCUCUCACACACACCCACGUAGGUGGGGGACGUGCACGAAGAGAAGUGGUGCACGCACGGCGCACGUACUACCGUCUCUUUCCCAACCACAUCCGUGCGGGUACACGGUGGAGCUCAUUUCUGUACGAAAAAGGCAGCCCACUUGGUAAUUUUGCACAUGUACUAGUUGUCCACUUGGUGGAGGGAGGAUCAUCUAUAACAAAUUGCGACUUGACGUGUUAUGUUAAAUUAAAAAAGAGUCAAACCAUGUGGGGCCUACCUUAGAGGCAAGGCUGUAUACACUGGAGUACUUUUGAUGUGUCCCGUCAACUCGCAGAACGAGGAGAAGCUUGCUUAGCACGCCGUCUCCCCCGCCCACGGGCGCCGUGGCUCGCAAGAUGAGGUGAAGCUUACUACUGCUGUACGCCUUUACGCCCACUCCCUCGCCCACGCGCGCGGUGGCUCGCAGCACGACGAGAAAAUUUUACUACUCCCUCCGUUUACUCCCCGUCCCUACUACGUACUUUGGUUAGUACUCCCUUCAUUUACUUAUACAAGGCCACUAUAGAAAAAUACAUUUUGCAUCUAUACAAGGCCACAAAUAGUAAUCGAGACAAAAGUUACUACUCCCUCCUUUCUAGGUAGACGGUGAGUGGUCGAAUUAAUUUCGUAGUUUGCACAGUACGCUCGUUUUUCUCAAGAACUUAUGUUUACCGAGGCAUUAAUUAGAACGGAUGCAUGAAUGACCACUAAAUUUCCAUGAACUUGUACAUGCAUUGGUUAGUUUCCUCUUGACACUGCUUGCGUCGGGUGAUCUAAUGCACCUCGAAAUCCAACAUGUAAUGGUACUACUACUAGUAUAGUAGAAUUGAGACUUAUCAAACGGAAAAACGAAUGUAUUUUAGAUGAGCCCUAUAAACCCUAGUGGGUACGUACUCCGUAAAAACAGAUUUUCCCAAAACUAAGUCGCUCCCUUUCAUGAAAUUCUGUAGUAUACUCCUCCGUCGACGCUCCCUUUCAUGAAUUAUGUACUUUCUGUCGCUGACAUGUGGGACAUAUAGCAACCGGGUCGACGUGUCAAGCACCAAAUAACAGUGCAGAACAUCAGGGGGACGCACCCCACUCGUACCGGCCUAGUAGUAGUAAUGAGCAAUGAGACGUCAAAUCACAAUGCCGCACCUUCCCAGACGGACGAAGCAACCAUUAUUUCACACUUCGGUUCGACAUCAUCUCAAACCACGUACUAGUAUUGCUUCUGCCUCAAGAGGGACACGCACAUCGCCUUGGUACAUCAUGACACGUGGGACCGCAUGACAGGCCAUGCUCCCCCGCCGAUCGCUCGGUAAAAUUACCUCAUUUUUACUAUACUUGCUCCGUAUCGGUUUACUACAUGGCAUGCACGUCGUUCUAGGUUAAGAAUUUAACUGGCUAUAUAUAUAUGUGAUGAACAGUACUCUAGCCUUUUAAAAAUGUAUACUUUUGUACAGUAGUACUAUCGAUGGAUUGCGCCAUGGAGCAAAAAUUGAAAUUUUAAAAAAAGGUGGUACAUAUAGAGAGCGCUCGUCGCCAAAUUAUGCAUAUAGUAGUAUUAAAAAAGCUAGUACGUGCUUAAUUGGGGUGCUAAAUUCUAUUAAAGAAAUACUAGUACUAGUAUGUACAUACUGAAGAGUUAAAGUAACGAGAAGAAACAUAACAUAGUUCUGCUGGGGGCUCAGCACAACACACCCCUCAAAUUAAACUAAGCACACCUGAAAUUAAACUAUGCAACUAAUCCGGUAGACACUACAUUAGAAGUUUAGAACCACCAUGAGCAACGACACUGCCACCUUACUCGGAGUCCUCGUCCACGUCCUCGACUUCGUCCUUGUCCCUCAUCCUCUUAGCCAAUACUUCUUUGCUUGAACCGCCAACUUGGCUGUUGCUCUUCAUCUAACCCUUGUAGAUAUUGAAACAAAGGUAGCCAUCCAUUGCAGCAUAGUGGAUGUGGUCUAUAUCUAGUACAUUCCGCUGCCAUGCAUGACGAUCAAACGUGUAAUGAGGUUUCUCCAGUUUACGGUACGAAGGAUGAACCAUGGCUCCUGCCAGGUUCAGCAUUGAGGGCUGGCGAGAGGGUACCAGCCGAUUCUUCUGGAGGUCGAAGGGGUUGCCUACGACGAGACCUAUCCAACCCAGGACUUCUUUGUCAUUCUUAAAGUCUACAGUAACGAAUUUCACUGUUUUGUCCUCGAGGAAGUUCUUAAAAUCCUGGCACUCAACGUCGGCAUGGCAUAUGUGGUAGACCAAGCAAACAUUAUGUACGCAAACCUGGAUCACGGCAGGCUUCUUCCUCUCUUCGUCCUUUAGAUCCUUCUCUCGUCCCACGACUGUGGUGUACUCAACAUCUAGCCCAGCGACGCACUCAUCAUCUGAGUUUUCGAACAUGCAUCUGAAGCGAGAAAGGCAUCCUUUCACCAUCGCGGAAGUAUGGGUGUAGAUGACGUCGAACUCAUUGCCGGUGAUGGUUCUAACCUUGUACUCACCGCCGAUCGGGGAGAUUUGGGACGCCAUUGAUUUGGGAGGAUGGUUAGGAUUAGUGGAACUGCCGUAAUGUGAAUGGACGGGAUGACUAGGAGUGAACCGCCGUAGUAUUAAAGGAUGUGCGGGGACGAGUAGGAGCGAACUGCCACCGUGCGAAUGACAGGGUAGUGGCUUUCCAUUCUCCCAUGAUACGGGCUUCCGAGAGCCCUUGGAUCUGAGAUCGAGUGGUUGCAUGGCGUGAUUCUAGACCUAUGGGUGAAUAUCCUAUCCUGGAGGGUUAUUCUGCAAAUUUUCAGCAACUUAGCAUGCGACCGUUUGAUCUCAGAUCCAAGGGCUGCCAGCAGCCCGUAUCAUGGUCGCGCCUACCACGACUGUCGCGUCGCUCGCGCGUUCGCGCCCUUGGAGAUAUAACACGGUGCGUUAGGCUAUCUGAUGUUGGCAUGUCAUACAUAGUCAUCACUUAGUCACUCAUACUACAACAAGGUUGGCUAUAAGGUUGGCUAUAAGUGUAUUUUUUUACUCCUCUCUAUCUCUUUCUUCGUACUCCCUCCGUCCCAUAAUAUAAGAACGCUUUUGAUACUAGUGUAGUGUCAAAAACGUUCUUAUAUAAUGGGACACAGGGAGUACUAGUAUUUAUUGCAUUUGCCAAGGAGUGACCUCUUCCAAUGAAAUGGUGUUGCUAAGUUUGCUUCAUUUAAUUAGCUAUAGACUCAAAAUUGUCUUUUCACCUAGGUACACGUGCUUAGCACCGUUUCUUCCUUGGGUCACCAAACUAGUCUCUCUCUUCUUCUUUAACUUGCCACAUCAGACUUUAUGCCUAUGUGGCAAGCUUAAGCACCUGUAGGAGCAAGUAAGUACAAUAGUGCGCUUUACAUGGCAUUUUUGCAUAUGUGGAGGAAAGAGAGGCAAGGAAAAAGUGGAGAAGUGGGCUCUCAUGCAAGAGCCAGCCUCUACUACAUGGUGGAGCAUUGGGAGAGGCACCUGUAUGGAGGUGGUCAGGAAUCAGGAGACUCACGCCGGUCGUGGCGCCGCAGUUAAAAUGAUAAUGGCAAGUCAAAUCACGGGGCCCCACCUGUCUAGCAGUAACUCGCUGUCAAAUCACACAGCCCUACCUUUGCAGUAGCCUACUCCCUCGUCUUCUCGCGUCUCUGUCGAACCGACUAGGCAGAACUGCCCCACCUACCACACAGGAAAAGCCCCGCCCUCGACUUUUAAAUACAACUACUCCCUCCGUCUAGGUGAGUAAGUCAUCUUACGAAAACCAAAUAAUCCCAAAAUACUACUCCCUGUUUCUUGUUUCUUCACAUAUCAACCAAUAAGAAUCCAAUGAUAUACCUUUUGUGACAUAGUAACUCAUAUUUAGUUAGUCAAAUGGAUGACCUAGAACUACGUGCAGGCCCUAUAAACCGAGACGCCUACAAAUAAAAAACCGAGACGGAGAGGGUAGUUCAGCACAUAUCUUUUUAGAUCAAUAUAGUCAUGAUUCACCAAGGAGCAAAACCAAGUGGUAGGUUGCUCCUGUCGUGUUGGCGUAGCAACUCAAGCAGGGUCAGUCCGCACACGAAAAGGCGACACACUUAACAGGACCCCUUUAGCAGACAUGUGGCUCAUCCACCGUCUUGUUCCACGUGCGAUGCACCAAAUUACAGUUCGGAGCAGCGGUUGGAAUUGGAGGCACCCCGGUCGUAGCGCCGCAGUAGUAGAAAAUGAGCGAUGAGGGGUCAAAUCACAAAGCCCCACCUUUCCCGCAUUAAGCUGGACGGAUGAAGCAACCAUCAUUUCACUCUAGCGCGCAAGAGCAUAAAGAAAACGGAAAACAAUGAUGCAUGCGGCAGCUACCUAGGGCACCCUAGGGUAGGGGUCUCCACUACAGAUCCUUUUUUUGAAAGCGCCUCCACUACAAAUCGGCUUCUCCCUCGUCCUCUUGAAGAAAACCGAUGAUGAGUGCGGCGGUAGGGUGUGUAGGAGUACUACGGCGUGCGGGGCCACGUCAUAGUAAACGGGUUCGAGUCGACGCCUUAAAUAUGUGUGGGCCGCUUGGUUUUACGGGAACGAGGAAGCAUUUUGGGUUCGGGGACCAGUGGAGAUAUAGCACGUACAAAAAAUUGUGGACGUAGGUUCGACCGAGAGGCAAUGAUGCAUGGGCCCUGCAUGUUGAUAUACCCGUGGCCGUGUGAAAUUUGCUACUCUACUGAAAACUAGUAAGGUACACAUGUAUUUAACGCAUGAGAUUUCGAAACCAAAUUAUGAAUAAAUACACACUAUAGCAUGUAAAGCUUCGAGUCAUAUAUGCAUGAUGUAGAUGUUCGUUUAGGUCUUAUAGCUCAUCUCAUUCAAAAUCAAUUAGUUUUAUAAAAAUGUUAAAGAUUCAUGGGGUUGUGCAUUUAUUGUAAAUCAUAAAGUAAAAACAAAUAAUGGCAAUUCAUUUACAAAAUAAUAAUCAAUUAUGAUACAAAAGAUUCUAGUACAAAGGAGAAGUGCUUGUGUUUUGAGGUUUGUGCAUUAUGCUUAAGUUCAACCAUGGAGUCUUCUAAAUUGUACAUGUGGGGUGGAAUGUUGAUGAUAUCCAAUGGCCAGUAGUGCUUGGAUUUGCCCAUCUCUGCACUGUCGGGUUAGCUUCAUCCAGCGAACAUCUUUCAAAGUUAUUGGCACACUAUAUAGUUCUUGUGCCAUAGUUGCAUGUUUUGGAAAAAAGCUAUUAGUGGUUUGUACUAUCUAUUUAGGAAUAGAAGAUGUAUACAUGGAAGUUGUAGGGAAAGAGAUGACAUGGAGCAUCUCAAUUCCUAUGAGUAGGGAUUGGAAAAGAGAUGUCAUUUGGUUCACAUCGUAGGAACUUUUCUAUUGAAUCUAGAAAUGACAUGUAUCCCAAUUCUUAUGAGGAGGGAUUAGUAAAGAGAUGUAAUUUGGUUCAUAUCAUAGGAACUUUUCUAUUGAAUAUACGCUAAUGUUUAUUUUCCUUUGAAAUUAAGGGAGUAUAGGAAUCCAUUCAUAUGAAUCAAGUGGCUCUAAAUCUAUAGAAAUGAUAUCAUGUUUAUUUGCUUUGAAAUGUAGAGUAUAUGAAUCUAUUCCUAUGAACCAAUUGGCUCUAAAGGAAAAAAAUCCUAUAAAGAUCAUAUCAUAUAGAGUUCGUAUGAUAUUCCUCGACACUAAAGGAUGGUUGAAAUUGCUGUGGGUGAUACGAUGGUCUUUCUUAGUAGACUCCUCACCCAUCUUUAUAGUUACCUCUCGAAGAUGAAUGAAAUGAUAUAUACAGGGUAUUCUACAUGUGCAAUUUGGUACACGGAAACUUGGUAAAAGUUUGCGAGGUUCUAAUUUUCAAUAAAGCUAUAUGCACUGCAUUUCGAAACGGAGGGAGCAUACGGCAGUUUCUAACACUCACGUGGAAGAUUUGUGUGUAGGAGGAGUGGCUGUUGUGUUAAAUGACAUGGCAAAACUGACACUGUCGGAUGCCGAUCUAACGGUUCUUACGGCGUUCGCCAGGAAAAGUCUUGUGGCGAACGUUUGUCGGAUAAUGAUUUACGGACACAUGCAUUGCAUUGAUACGUGCCCCCUCUCUCUCACGCACACGCACCCUCACGAGUCACAACUCUCCCGAGUCCUCUCGCAGACUCGCACGUCGCACGCAUCGUCUAUCUGCAGGUAGACGUCAUGCACAUAUGUGCUCUUCACACCCUACCCUCAGAACUUCUAAAAAACAAAAGACGGCACGCACAUUUUAUUUUAGCUCACACGUCACACACUUAUACUAUUAAUCUUGCGGCGAACGUUCUUUGGGCAUAGUAUAUAUUGUACUCUCAUGAAGGGAGGCGGUGCACGCACGCACUAGUUCUCUCACACCCACUCGCGGGUACACGUAGGAGCGCAUUUUUUUGAAGACGGUACAACAAAAUCACUCCACUAUAUAUAAAAGCAGGAGCCUUAGCGCUUGCUUUACUAGGGUUCCUCUCGUUCACUCUCUCAUGAUCUCCAGAUCUAAGCAAGACAUAGGUCGCCACACUCUCUCUCUCAGCUCACGGCUGGUCACAAAUCCGACCGGACAACCUCGACCGGGGCAGGGGGUGUAGGUGCAUCAUUCACGCUGUCGUCGGUGGCGAGGGAGGAGACCAACGGCUGCCCGCGCGUCCCAAUCGGCGGCCGUGCCGUUCUCUCAGAUAGAGCGCCGGCUCGGGAGGGCCUCCGACCCCUUCUUCCUCCCUGCGGUGUUGUGGCCAAGAUGCAGCCUCUCGACGAUACCUUUGCCACAUGCGGAUGACCCUCAGGUAUAUAUUCCUUCGAAACCUGCCUUGCUCUACUGCCCCAGCUCUUCCCCCUUCGUGUGGAUCCUUUUCUACUUCCGUCCGCUGUUCCAAAGCCACCUAGACUUCUACUAUUGUUAGAAGUAAAGCUAGUUCAUACAGUCAACUCAAAGCGUUGGUUCAAACAUGGAAGAAAGUGGGAAAGUUGUAGCAUGAAUCUAGGACUUGGUUCUAAGAGGAAACGAGGGAAAGUAGUAAUAUCUGUCACUGUUUAAAUAACCGUAUUUCGUAUUUGUGCAAAUAGGGAAGUUUGUCUCCAUAUCGUUUCGGGAUGUCUGUCUCCGUAUUGUUUCUAUCCGCGCAAUCAAAAGCACACACCUCAGUUUUAGUACAACUGCACAAAAUGAGAUGGCUAUCCCUCGUUGCCGUCGUCUAACCUCCUGUCUUCAAGGUAUCCCUACAUUGGUAGUAACUAAGGUAGAAUGACCAACACAAUCUAAAAGAAGCUGAUUCGUAUGUUUUACUUCCUGAUUGAAGUGCAGGGACGAGCGAAAACAAUUACAUCCUAGUCCGGAAUGCACUUUCUACCAGUUCAUCCAUGGACCGAGGACUAGCUGGCACGGCUGCACAACGGUUUUUUGGACAGGUGCGUAGACAAGAGGCAUUGUGGUCUGCUUAUUUCUGCAAAUAGCGGUGCCUAAAUUUAGUGGAAUGCACAAGAAUGUCACCUGGUCAGUACACUGCAUGGUUCAGUUCAGCAUUCCAGCUGAGACCACAAUUAUAAUUGGUUAUUCUGGAAUGAGAGAACCUAACCCUGGAUGGUGGCAACAAGAAAAAACCAGAGUGAACUCUAGGAAAUUUAAGCCUGCUGGGAGGCCCUUUGCUCAGAGAAGCCUUGCUUGUUUUUUCCUGAUUUGUAAACCUUCUCACAACUUUGUCUUUUGCUGUGAACUAGUAUAUGUUUGUUAUGUUCUAUGAAUCAUUGAGAUGUAUAAAACUGCUUAACUUAUGCUUUUCAAGAUUUUUAUGAAGACGAGUUUAUUGUGAGUGUUCCACAUGAGCGCUGGACUAGCCUGUGAACAUUUGGAAUUUAUUACAUUGUGGCAUCAAUUAACUGCAUGAACCACCGUAACAAGAUACAUAGUUGCUUAUAUGUCAGACAACAGAUUGUUGAUUGUUAGCUGGUCGAUAGCCUAGUGUUGAAGCGAGCUGAGCCAAUGUGCCGUGUUUUGAACAACUGCUUACAAGUGGGGUAGCACCAACAGUGUUUACAAGUACUUAUGUAUAUGUCGGCGCACGGUCCUUGAACAAGUGCUCUAUUUCAUCAAAACACACACUGCUCGUAUGAUAAACCGUGACAACUUAUGUCUUACCAUGCCAUAUUCGUGAAAAAACUAGUGAGGACACAUCUGUUUCGGCAACAAUUACGAUGGUUCUCACAUGAUUCACGGGCACACAAAAGUAGCAGCAGUUCCCAUAGACGGAUUCAAACAGAGUACUAGCCCCAGAGGGGUCGAUAACAGGCAAGGUUCGGAUAAUUAGACACAAUCCAAGCUACUAUUAAACACUAGCUGGGGCAACUAUUUCAUGCCUCGAUCUAAUUUGGGUUGGACACAAGACGGACCUUGCCAUGAACAUCAUCAAGGACGUCCCGCAACAGCUCAAUCCUGUGAACCUUCAUGAAGACAACCUUGUGGCCUUGCCACAGAUAAACUUGUUUGUGGAGGCAUGCCACGUCAUCUUCCUGCGUAAGCUUGACAAGAACAGUAUGCCUCACAAAUGAAGGAGUAGCUUUGAACUUCUUGUGCUUCAGUACACCCUGGACAACACGCCUGACAACAGUGAGGCUGGAAUAGAACUCUUCAUUGGUAUAACCGCAAAUGGCUUCCAGGAUCCAACAGCCUAAGAACUCUGUUUUCCCAGUGCGUAUAUUCAGGUCGUCCGCCUCAUAGCGAGUGACAUGCACAACCAAACAAUCCUUGUCUGCAUCAAGGCUCUAAUUGAAACAGAAACAAAUUUUGAAUUACUUUUCAGUAUAAGAAACACAAGUUAUUUAAACCACUAUGUAUAGCAAGGCAUCGAAGCUAAUAAAAUUUUGCAUUAUUAGUCACCCACUACUAGGGAAAAGCCUAUACACAGAAAUUUAGCAACAACGCGGGUCAAAAAAGAGCGCUAGUGCUAGAUAGCAGUAGUGAUUGAGGAAAAACCGCGCUACAGAUAUAAUCUUAGCAAUAGCGCAUGUAGUGCCAAAAGCGCUACUACUAGUAUUCCCGUUGGUAGAAUGAUAGGAUACGCAUAGCAGUAGCGGGCUUGGAGCAAGUGCGCUACCGCUAGGGCAUAAGUAGUAGCGCGUUUCCUACGAAGAGCGCUACUACUAAUGGAAAUAAAAUAAGAUGAAAAACAAAUAGAAAAGUAAAUGAAAAUGAAAGAAAUAGAAAAAGGAGAAAGGAAAAAAUAAAAUGUAAAGCAUAAUAAUUGAAAAAGCGAAAAAACGGAGGAAGGCAUAACAGUAGCGUGUGUUUGUAAGAGGCGCUAUAGCUAACAUAGCUGCAGCGCGUGUCCUAGACCCCCGCUAUAGAAACAGAAAAGAAAAUUAAAAAAUGGAAGAAAAUUACGUAGCUAUAACAGCAGGGCGUUUUGUAAAAACCGCUAUAGCUAUCUUAGCUAUAGCGCGUUUUACGAAAUGCGCUACCGCUAAAUUUGACUUAACCAAAAAACUAUUUCCCCCGGCCACCACUUCUCCCCCAAAUCCCUUGACCCACCCCGCUGCCAUCUCCCUGAUUCGCCGUCGCCCCACUUCACCGCCGUCUCCUGCCGACGUCGACGCCACCAGAGCCGUGCGCCAUCGAUGCCACCGGAGCCGCGCGACCUCAUCAGCGCCACCAGAGCCGCCGUCGACGCUACCGGAUCCUCCCUCGCCACAACUGCCUCCCUCGCCGUCACCGGAGACGCCCCUGCCUCCCUCGCCACCACUGCCUCCCUCGCCACCACUGCCUCCCUCGCCACCACCGGAGCCAUCCUCUGUAAGCCCCCACCCCUCCUCUCUCUCUCAUGCAUAGGUUAGCUAGUUUAAUUAGCUUAAUUAUCUAGGUUAGGGCAAAAUUUUAGUUAGGGCUUUGACAGAGAAGUAGUUAGGUUAACUAGUUUAAUUAGGUUAAUUAUCUAGGUUAGUGCAAAAAUUAGUUAGGGCUUUGAUAGAGAACUAGUCAGGUUAACUAGUUUAAUUAGGUUAAUUAUCUAGGUUAAUUAGUGCAAAAAUUUAUUUAGGGCUUUGAUAGAGAACUAGCUGUGUUAACUAGUUUAAUUAGGUUAAUUAUGUAGAUAAACUAGAUUAACUAACUAGGUUAAAUAGGUAGGUUAAUUAGGUUCGUUGGAUUAACAAGCUAGGUUAGGUAGGUUGGCUAGGUUAGAGGAAAAUUUUAUUUUAGAGCAUUAGGUCAGAAGGGUUAGAGAAAUGGAGUUCCUUUGCAAUUUAAUUGGGUUCUGUCCUAGGCAGAGAAGGGUUAGAGAUAAUAAUGUGUGUUUGUGUGAGAGAGAGGAAUAGCUAGAUCAACAUAAUUUGGGUUUUGUCCCAGGAAGAUAAGUGUUUAGUGAAGGAAAAAUUUUUAGGCAAAUUUUAUAUUAAAGAUGAUCCCUUCCUAGACUUUUAUUGUUGAUUAUAUCUUUUCAUUGAAGUGUUCAUGUUAUAUCUUUUCAUUGAAGUGGUUCGAUUGUGCCCAAGUGGCUUUGUUGUUUCCAGGGAAUGAUGCUGAGUGGCCUAUGUUUUGUCAGAAUGUUGAUUCAUUUCUGUUCCGGCAAAUUUCAGGUUCUCGAUUUGUCCACUUUUUAGCAAUGGUCAUGCCGAAAUUUUCCGUGAAUUUAGGCAUGACUUGUGCUACAAACUAGGACAUAUCGAGUGCCCGAGAUUUGCCGCACCAGGAAGGAGUCAACAUUCCUGCAAAACAAUAGGCCUUUCUUAUGUCAUUAUUCAGUUUAUUAGGUCUAGAAUUAAUUGACUAGAUUUAAUCAUAGGAAACAUGGCUAGGAAUGAUGAAGGAUAGGGUUCUGGUGAUUGCGUAGACGCCUACCGGGCGGCAGACGAAUUUUUUAGCCUUACCGAUGAUCAACCGAUGUUGUUGCUGGGCCCACCGGUGGCAUCGGGGACUGAGACCGACACGCAGACCGGUGCUGAGACUGAGACCAGCGCUGAGACUCAGACCGGCAUCGGGACCGGUGCUGAGACUAAGACCGGUUGAGGGAGUCCCGGAUUAGGGGGUGUCUGGAUAGCCGGACUAUAUACUUUGGCCGGACUCCUGGACUGUGAAGAUACAAGAUUGAAGACUUCGUCCCGUGUCCGGAUGGGACUUUCCUUGGCGUGGAAGGCAAGCUUGGCGGUACGGAUAUGUAGUUCUCCUCCCAUUGUAACCGACUCUGUGUGACCCUAGCCCUCUCCGGUGUCUAUAUAAACCAGAGGGUUUUAGUCCGUAGGACGAACAAUAUUCAUACCAUAGGCUAGCUUCUAGGGUUUAGCCUCUCUGAUCUCGUGGUAGAUCUACUCUUGUACUACCCAUAUCAUCAAUAUUAAUCAAGCAGGAGUAGGGUUUUACCUCCAUCGAGAGGGCCUGAACCUGGGUAAAAACAUUGUGUCCCUUCUCUCCUGUUACCAUAUGUGACGCCCCCGAUUCAAUCGUACACUAAUCAUGCACGCAAACGUGUACGAUCAAGAUCAGGGACUCACGGGAAGAUAUCACAACACAACUCUAAAUACAUAAAUAAGUCAUACAAGCAUCAUAAUACAAGCCAGGGGCCUCGAGGGCUCGAAUACAAGUGCUCGAUCAUAGACGAGUCAGCGAAAGCAACAAUAUCUGAGUACAAACAUAAGUUAAACAAGUUUGCCUUAAGAAGGCUAGCACAAACUGGGAUACAGAUCAAAAGAGGCGCAGGCCUCCUGCCUGGGAUCCUCCUAAACUACUCCUGGUCGUCGACAGCAGCCUGCACGUAGUAGUAGGCACCUCUAGUGUAGUAGUCAUUGUCGACGGUGGCGUCUGGCUCCUGGACUCCAGCAUCUGGUUGNNNNNNNNNNNNNNNNNNNNNNNNNNNNNNNNNNNNNNNNNNNNNNNNNNNNNNNNNNNNNNNNNNNNNNNNNNNNNNNNNNNNNNNNNNNNNNNNNNNNNNNNNNNNNNNNNNNNNNNNNNNNNNNNNNNNNNNNNNNNNNNNNNNNNNNNNNNNNNNNNNNNNNNNNNNNNNNNNNNNNNNNNNNNNNNNNNNNNNNNNNNNNNNNNNNNNNNNNNNNNNNNNGGGGGAGAAAGCAACCGUGAGUACUCAUCCAAAGUACUCGCAAGCAAGGAUCUACACUACAUAUGCAUGAGUAUAUGUGUAAAGGGCCAUAUCGGUGGACUGAACUGCAGAAUGCCAGAAUAAGAGGGGGAUAGCUAAUCCUGUCGGAGACUACGCUUCUGGCAGCCUCCAUCUUGCAGCAUGUAGAAGAGAGUAGAUAUAAGUCCUCCAAGUAGCAACGCAUAGCAUAAUCCUACCCGGCGAUCCUCUCCUCGUCGCCCUAUUAGAGAGCGAUCACCGGGUUGUAUCUGGCACUUGGAAGGGUGUGUUUUAUUAAGUAUCCGGUUCUAGUGGUCAUAAGGUCAAGGUAGAACUCCAAGUCGUCCUGUUACCGAAGAUCACGGCUAUUCGAAUAGAUUAACUUCCCUGAAGGGGUGCACCACAUAACCCAACACGCUCGAUCCCAUUUGGCUGGACACACAUUCCUGGGUCAUGCCCCACCUAGGCACAAUAGAGAGGUCAACACGCCGCUCUAAAUCCUAUGCGCGCAGGGGUCUGGGCCCAUCGCCCAUUGCACACUUGCACGUUGUGAGGGCGGCCGGAAGCAGACCUAGCCUCCCUUAUACAAGAGUAGGCGUUCCAGUCCAAUCCGGUGCACGCCGCUCCGUCGCUGACGUCAAGAAGGCUUCGGCUGAUACCACGACGUCGAGUGCCCAUAUCUUUCCCACGUAGUUGGUUAGUGCGUAUAGGCCAGUGGCUAGACUCAAAUAAAAUACCAAGAUCUCGUUAAGCGUGUUAUUAUGAAGCAACCGCGGACGCCGACCAGGGCCAGGCCCACCUCUCGCCUAGGUGGUCUCAACCUGCCCUGACGCUCCGCCACAAAGAUCCACACAGAGGGCCGUCGGGACAAAGGUCCUUUCAGCCCCCAAUCCGUGAACGCGGGUACUCUUCGAGCGGACCCGACUUUAGUCACCAUCUGAAGUAUGUAUAUAUGUAUAGUAUAUACCCGUGAUCACCUCCCGAGUGAUCACGGCCCAAUAGUAUAGCAAGGCAGACUAACAAGAAUGUAGGGCCAAUGGUGAUAAACUAGCAUCCUAUACUAAGCAUUUAGGAUUGCAGGUAAGGUAUCAAUGACUGUAGCAACAAUGACAGGCUAUGCAACAGAAUAGGAGUAACCGAACAGUAACAUGCUACACUACUCUAAUGCAAGCAGUAUUGAGAAGAAUAGGCGAUAUCUGGUGAUCCAGGGGGGGCUUGCCUGGUUGCUCUGGCAAGGAGGGGUCGUCAACUCCGUAGUCGAUCGGGGUACCAGCAGCAUCGUCAACCUCGUAGUCUACCGGAGAGAAGAGGGGGGAGAAACAAUAAAUACAAUGCAUUCAAAGCAUCACAAAGCAUAACAUGUCAAUACGCGGUGCUAGGUGUGCCCUAACGCAGUGCGAGGUGAUACCGGCGAAGGGGGAAAACAUCCGGGAAAGUAUUCCCGGUGUUUCACGUUUUCGACAGAUGAACCGGAGAGGGAAAGUUGCGUGUUUGCUAUGCUAGGGAUGUGUGGCGGAUAAACGGACUGCGUAUUCGGAUUCGUCUCGUCGUUCUGAGCAACUUUCAUAUACAAAGCAUUUUCAUCCAAGUUAUGGAUUAUUUUAUAUUAAUUUUUAAAGAUUUAAUUCAUUUUUAGAAUUAACAGAAUUAAUUUAAUUAAGAAAUGCCAUUAUGACGCCAGCAUGACAUCAGGGUGAUGUCAGCAGUCAACAGUCAAUUGACUUGGUCAAACUGACGCGUGGGUCCCAUUGUCAUUGGCCAAGAUUAACUAAAACAGAUUAAUUAGUUUAAUUAGUGAUUAGGUUAAUCUAAUCAGGUUUAAUUAACUUAAUUACUCACUUAAUUAAUUAAUUAAUUAAUAAUUUUAUUUAUUAUUAUUAUUUUAAGUCUUUUUUUAAAACAUUCCGGGGCUGGGCCCCGACUGUCAUUGGGCCAAGGGCCUUAGCGGGUGUGGGGUUUACGGGCACCGGGCGUGGGCACCCGAACAGGCGAGUCCAGAGCGGAGCUAGCCGGGGUGCCGCGGGUGGCUCGCCGGAGCGCGGCCACGACGAGCAGACGAGGGAGGGCGCAAGGAGGAGCCAAGGCGCGUGAGAGGAACGGCGGAGGCAGGGGCACGGGAGCACUCCGCGAGCGGGCGCGCCAUGCACGAGUGGGCGAGGGCGGGGGUUGCAGUGGUGGUGGCGGCAGCGCCGCAGCACAGCAGCAGCUACGGCAGCUCGUGGCGGGGCACGGCCAGGAGCGGCAAGGGAGGCGACGGCAUGGCCGACACGGUCGUCGAGCAGGAGGGUAUGCGGGCAUGGACGGACCUGGAGCGCACGGGGGUACGGGGCGGGGCGUGCUCGACCGCAAGGCAGAGACGGGGCAGAGGCGAGCGGACCGCACGGGCGCGAGGUAGACGAGCGUGGUGUCCGUGGACGAAAAGAAGGGGAGAGGGGAGGCGGAGGCCGAGGGCCUCACCAGCGUUUGCAGGGGCACAUGGGCGUCGAGGCUCGGGGGCGACCCUUGGGGAGGAGGACGGGGACGAUCGACGGAGACGGGAGGCGAGGUAGUCGAGGCAGAGAGGCUCCGAGAGGGUGGCUCCAGCGACUAGACCUCCAGGCGGCGGCAGUUGGUGUCGAAGGGGGCUCGGGAACGCUCCCUCGAUCCNNNNNNNNNNNNNNNNNNNNNNNNNNNNNNNNNNNNNNNNNNNNNNNNNNNNNNNNNNNNNNNNNNNNNNNNNNNNNNNNNNNNNNNNNNNNNNNNNNNNNNNNNNNNNNNNNNNNNNNNNNNNNNNNNNNNNNNNNNNNNNNNNNNNNNNNNNNNNNNNNNNNNNNNNNNNNNNNNNNNNNNNNNNNNNNNNNNNNNNNNNNNNNNNNNNNNNNNNNNNNNNNNNNNNNNNNNNNNNNNNNNNNNNNNNNNNNNNNNNNNNNNNNNNNNNNNNNNNNNNNNNNNNNNNNNNNNNNNNNNNNNNNNNNNNNNNNNNNNNNNNNNNNNNNNNNNNNNNNNNNNNNNNNNNNNNNNNNNNNNNNNNNNNNNNNNNNNNNNNNNNNNNNNNNNNNNNNNNNNNNNNNNNNNNNNNNNNNNNNNNNNNNNNNNNNNNNNNNNNNNNNNNNNNNNNNNNNNNNNNNNUUUUCUUUCUACUAUUUUAAAUUUUUUAUCCACAUUAUUUUUACUUAGUAAAAUAUGACAACAACUCCUAAAAUAACGUUUCAAAAUAACCCUCAGGCACAAAAGGUUUUAACCCAAAAUAAAUUAGUUUUGUGUUUUAUAAAAUACCAAAGGCAUUUACAAAAUGUUUUUGCUAUAGUUUAAAUCAUUUUAGUGCAUUUAUACAUUAUAUAAAAAUGUGUAUUAUUCAUCAUAAUCAUCUAUGCAUUAAGUGACACAACCCGAACAUUUUGGUUUUUAAUAUUUUAAAACUUUUGAUGUUUGCCUGAUUUUGAAUUUGAAUUUGAAUCAGUUUCGAACUAACGUGAGAUUAGUAACAGUAAUCGAAGUGACGUGGCACCAUUAGCACAGGUUACUGUAGCUUGAUUAUCCGGGCGUCACAAUUCUCCUGCACUACAAGAAAUCUCGUCCCGAGAUUUAGGAGCAGUAGUAAGGGGGAAGGGAUUUGGUUACGAAUUUCUAAUGAAUCUUCUCGUUCUGGCUUGCUCUUCUCGAAGAGGUGGAUCCAUUACGUUGAAGUCUUUAUUUCUCUGCUCCAGGUCAUCAUGAUCAAUUCGUCAUCCUUUGUUCGGGAUAUCCAUCGUCCUACGAACGUGAUCAAGGGGAAAAACUCCGGAAGAACGCAUCUCCACUAAGAUGGGCAUCUGACGGUGAACUCAAUGGAAAAUACACAAGGUACCCCACGAGUUGUAUUUCGGUGAAUUCGUUGAGUGCAAUAUACGAUGGUACCAAAGUUUCAAACGGGUAGGCGAUCAUUCAAUGACUAGCCAGAAGCUGGAAUGGGGGCUUGAACCACGAGAAUAACAUGGUGUUUGAUCCCAGGAUGAAUAAUUGUAUAGCAUUCAGCUCGUGAAUCACAUACGAAGCUAGGUGCAAAGGAUACAUUAGAAUCCGGGUUGUGAAGAAUAGUCAGGUUUGGAUCCGGUGGACCUGUGGGUUAUGGGCCCACCAUGUGGGUUGAAAGUAGGAAACGUGGUGACAUCUUGCACAGCCGCGACAGGGAGGCAUGUCAGUGGAUAGCUUGUCAGCUAUGACGGCAACAAUGUUAGUACCAAGGACGAGGAACGAAGAGAAACCAUUUUCCUGCUCGUUGAACGAGGCGAACCAAUUGGCGAAGUUCUCACCAAUCGGUGGUUACCGGAAUGUCAUCAACAAUAGUAACAGGGUCUUACAGACAGAGUGGUACAACAAGGUGCUUACGUAAGCAGGGAAUUAUCUCUGCUCAGUUAAGUCAGAUUACAGGAAAGGUUAAACAAAGCAAUGGAAAGGAAAACGUGAUUAUCAGAUUAAACGGAAAAAUGGAAAGAAAAAUUAUGAUUACACACAAUUAUUAGGAGUAUAUCCUUCCCAUGUACAAGCAGAGCAUGGCAUACAGGAUGGGAGAGCAAGUACUCAACCAUUCAGAGAAAGAGGCAAGGAUUAAUCAAGAUGUUACCCAUACAAAGGUCUUUGGAUAACUGACCAAGAAACAUUUAGCAUCGCGCCUCCAAUGUUCUUGUUGGUGAGCGGGGUAUCAUAGUCAUGCUUCGAGGUAGCGAUGAUAUGGUGUUUCAAUCAAGGGUCGGACUUUGGAUACACAAAUGAUCCAUCAAGAGCAACUUAUAAAAUAAGCCUUACAAUUUCCUCAUGGAAGAAUGGCUAACCUUGUGAAAAAGAAAACUAUAACAAUAGGUCCUCAGACCAGGGGUGCUAAGCAAAGGCACCACCUUGCCGGGUCAUGUAAAGAUGUUAUAACUCCUGGAAAUAUGUUCCAACCAUCAUAUCUGACCGAGAUUUAGAUCUGAUUGGUGUCAGGAUACCUCAGACUCAGGAUGUCUGAGAAGAAAAGGUGCAACACAAAUUGACGAGAUGACAUUGUAAGAUUAUCGGGAAUUGAACUAUGGAAGCAAGUUUCGAAACAAGAGUUCACCAUCAAACCAGGGAGAGGACGAGGAGGUGACUGAGGGACUCAGCGACAAUUCAUCAAGAUUUCCGACAAGAUGGAUUUCCACAAUUAUGUGAACAAGAAGAUAACACGUGUCAGAUCAAAUGAUAUAAUGAUGUAUGCCUGAGGAAAACAUACACAAUUAAACAUUGGUUGAAAGGUGCGCUCGAAAUAUGGGCAUAGGUAGCCUGAUCAAUUGUUAGAGUGGUGAUUCAAUAACCAAUAGGCUAAGAAUGAAACAUCGACCAUUAUCUUCAAAGCAAUAGGAUUGCUAGAAGUUUUAAAGUCGCACAUCAUAGUUCGAUUGUCGGUUUUUCGGUUAGAAGUAGCACAGGGACCAAGAAGGAGAGGUUAUUGUGAGAAGUAUUACUUGCAUCAAUAAUUCAUAAGAGGUGGUGAAAUUCUCACGACAUUCUUGACAUAAACGAUGGUAAUACCCCAAUGUAAAGAAGAACAAUUGCUGGAUAGCAAGGAACUCAAGGUAUAACACAAAACAAGAACAAGUUUGUGUUGGAGGAAAGGUAGUAGAGUGGUCGAUGAUCACACUAAUCAUCGAGGGAAAGGAUUGUCUUUCUCAUCCUGAAUUCCAUUGAUAUCCUGGAAGAGCUCAGAAUGCUGAUGAUGAGCACGACACACUUGUCGAGAGAAUUCAUGAAGUUGUAAUCAAUUGGCGAUGACAUCAAGUCAAAGGAAUGAUAAAGCAAAUGGUUAUUGAAACCAUGGGUACGACACAAUCUCCAAAGCAAGCUUGCUGUCCAAAGCGAAAUGAUAUGAUGAGGAAGAUCGAUGUAAGCUUAGCUCAUCGUCAAAAAUUGUGCUCUGGGAAGAAGGACCAGGUAGCACAGUUAAAAUCGGCACGACAAGGAUAUAGCCAAACAGGCUAGGAAUGACGUGAUUGAGUUCAAACUCGUAAGUAAUGAAUGUUACCAAGAGUUGUUUAAUCGCGAUGCGGACUUGAGUCAGUUAUCGGUGUCUUUGAGUGUUUAAUAACUCAGAGCCCGUGAAAAAUUGGAAUCAAUGAGAAUGUAGCACUUGAUGAAGAACUCAUAAGAAGUUAUGCAGUUCCGUGAUAAUCUUGAGAUACCAGGGGGGUGAUACUUGACGACAAAUCGAAGUAGAGGUUGGACUGGGAUAUUACUCCGCAGAAGACAAGUGCUUAAACUUGCACAAGAAAUGGUAUUUAAAGGAGAACAUGGUCGGAACCAUGAUUGCAAAAGGCCAGAUUCCAGAUAUAAAAUGAACUUAUACCAACGGAAUUAUUAAUUUAAGAGAAGCUGUAAUGAUACGAUCUACAUCGUGUCCAUGGGCAUGAACACAAAGUUCAAGGUCGACUCCCUCUUCUCUAAUGCAUAACCUUUCAUUCACUUCUCAUUUUUGAAGAAGUUGAAAUGUUGAAAUUUUAUCUAGCAAAAUACCAAAAGAGUAUGACUCAUGAAAACUUUCGAGUUCACACAUAUUAAGGAAGGUAUAGGUUCAACCCGUCAGGGUAUCGUGGAAACAUAUACCACAAGCUUCAAUAGUAAAUACCACCAGCUCGAAAGUAGAGCAUGGUUGGCCAAGCAGAUGAUACAACUUACCAAAGGCACUAUGUAUCAGGGGAAGAACUCACAAGGUGAUUGACUAUGAAGGACACUGUCGGAUAACAAUCCACAAUGGAUCGGGUGAUCCACAAUGGAGCUGAUGUGAGUAUCGGUACUCCAUCAGAGGAAGAAAGAAUGCACGAGCAUCAUAUUAUAGAACAUCAAAAUAAUUCGAUGCUUAGAUAACAAAGGAAUUACGAUUUCCAAAACAAAGGAUCAGAAGCAGUCGCUCUGAUCAAGGAUGGAUAAGUUGGAUAGACCAGAGGCACAAUUGGCGACAAAUAGUUUGGUCGAGAACCAGCUCAUGUUAAAAAAUGAUGUCUGAGCCAGAAAGAUAAUUUAGAAGGGUUGAUAGAUGAUUCUGUGCAUUCGCACACAUGUUGAAUCAAUAGGAUCAAUAUGACGGUGUCAAAAGAUACUAGUGUAUAUUGCCAGAUAUAUGGGAAGCAUCCAUAAUGCUAGUAGACAAGUAUUUGCGGAGCAAUAAAGCUGCUAAGGAUUUUCGGAGGAUUGAAUAGUAUUUCAAAGACUUUUGUGAAACACCUGAACAACUGGGAUGAGCGGAUACUCGGAAGGUGUGAGAAAUUAUUCUUAGGGGUACUCAGGUGGCAAAGAACUGCAAGGCAGUAGGCACAAAAUAUUCUCGGGGUAUCUUGUAAUAACAAGAUCGACUGGGAAUAAAAGUAAGCACGACAGGUGUAAGUAUUUAUCCAUAGGGAUAUUUCGGUGGUAGGGAAUUGCAAAAGCAACGGGCACAAGGUCUCGAGAGAAAAUCUGAGAGUAUCUUCGAAAUCUUCUGGUGCAGCCGGCGAUCAUCUGGACUGAAGGGGAUCUCCGAGAAAAAGUAUUUUCGAGAACCUAAAGUUAGAUUUUAGUAAAAAAAUCGUUUAACCCGAUAGAAGAGAGUUCAGAAUCCCAGAGUAAAGAUCGAGGAGUAAAAGAUCCUAAUACCACCCAAUGGCGACGUGGGCCCAUGGGCCGCACAGCCAUGUUAGUAAAAGUUUUGCAAUGUCUAGACUCGACUUCGGCCAAGGAGUGUGGAAGGGGCAUUCCUACAGGUAGUCGGCUCUGAUACCAACUUGUGACGCCCCCGAUUCAAUCGUACACUAAUCAUGCACGCAAACGUGUACGAUCAAGAUCAGGGACUCACGAGAAGAUAUCACAACACAACUCUAAAUACAUAAAUAAGUCAUACAAGCAUCAUAAUACAAGCCAGGGGCCUCGAGGGCUUGAAUACAAGUGCUCGAUCAUAGACGAGUCAGCGAAAGCAACAAUAUCUGAGUACAGACAUAAGUUAAACAAGUUUGCCUUAAGAAGGCUAGCACAAACUGGGAUACAGAUCGAAAGAGGCGCAGGCCUCCUGCCUGGGAUCCUCCUAAACUACUCCUGAUCGUCGACGGCAGCCUGCACGUAGUAGUGGGCACCUCCAGUGUAGUAGUCGUCUUUGACAGUGGCGUCUGGCUCCUGGACUCCAGCAUCUGGUUGCAACAACCAGAAAGAAAGGAAAAGGGGGGAAAAGGGGGGAGAAAGCAACCAUGAGUACUCAUCCAAAGUACUCGCAAGCAAGGAUCUACACUACAUAUGCAUGAGUAUAUGUGUAAAGGUCCAUAUCGGUGGACUGAACUUCAGAAUGCCAGAAUAAGAGGGGGAUAGCUAAUCCUGUCGAAGACUACGCUUCUGGCAGCCUCCGUCUUGCAGCAUGUAGAAGAGAGUAGAUUGAAGUCCUCCAAGUAGCAACACAUAGCAUAAUCCAACCCGGCGAUCCUCUCCUCGUCGCCCUGUUAGAGAGCGAUCACCGGUUGUAUCUGGCACUUGGAAGGGUGUGUUUUAUUAAGUAUCCGGUUCUAGUUGUCAUAAGGUCAAGGUACAACUCCAAGUCGUCCUGUUACCGAAGAUCACAACUAUUCGAAUAGAUUAACUUCCCUGCAGGGGUGCACCACAUAACCCAACACGCUCGAUCCCAUUUGGCCGGACACACUUUCCUGGGUCAUGCCCAGCCUUGGAAGAUCAACACGUCGCAGCCCCACCUAGGCACAACAGAGAGGUCAACAUGCCGGUCUAAAUCCUAUGCGUGCAGGGGUCUGGGCCCAUCGCCCAUUGCACACCUGCACGUUGCGAGGGCGGCCGGAAGUAGACCUAGCCUCCCUUAUACAAGAGUAGGCGUUCCAGUCCAAUCCGGCGCGCGCCGUCCGUCGCUGACGUCAAGAAGGCUUCGGCUGAUACCACGACGUCGAGUGCCCAUAUCUUUCCCACGUAGUUGGUUAGUGCGUAUAGGCCAGUGGCCAGACUCAAAUCAAAUACCAAGAUCUCGUUAAGCAUGUUAUUAUGAAGCAACCGCGGACGCCGACCAGGGCCAGGCCCACCUCUCGCCUAGGUGGUCUCAACCUGCCCUGACGCUUCGCCACAAAGAUCCACACAGAGGGCCGUCGGGACAAAGGUCCUUUCAGCCCCCAAUCCGUGAAUCACUCGCGGGUACUCUUCGAGCAGACCCGACUUUAGUCACCAUCUGAAGUAUGUAUAUAUGUAUAGUAUAUACCCGUGAUCACCUCCCGAGUGAUCACGGCCCAAUAGUAUAGCAAGGCAGGCUGACAAGAAUGUAGGGCCAAUGGUGAUAAACUAGUAUCCUAUACUAAGCAUUUAGGAUUGCGGGUAAGGUAUCAAUGACUGUAGCAACAAUGACAGGCUAUGCAACAGAAUAGGAGUAACCGAACAGUAACAUGCUACACUACUCUAAUGCAAGCAGUAUAGAGAAGAAUAGGCGAUAUCUGGUGAUCAAGGGGGGGCUUGCCUGGUUGCUCUGGCAAAAAGGAGGGGUCGUCAACUCCGUAGUCGAUCGGGGUACCAGCAGCAGUGUCAACCUCGUAGUCUACCGGAGNNNNNNNNNNNNNNNNNNNNNNNNNNNNNNNNNNNNNNNNNNNNNNNNNNNNNNNNNNNNNNNNNNNNNNNNNNNNNNNNNNNNNNNNNNNNNNNNNNNNNNNNNNNNNNNNNNNNNNNNNNNNNNNNNNNNNNNNNNNNNNNNNNNNNNNNNNNNNNNNNNNNNNNNNNNNNNNNNNNNNNNNNNNNNNNNNNNNNNNNNNNNNNNNNNNNNNNNNNNNNNNNGGAGAAACAAUAAAUACAAUGCAAUCAAAGCAUCACAAAGCAUAACAUGUCAAUGCGCGGUGCUAGGUGAGCCCUAACGCAGUGCGAGGUGAUACCGGCGAAGGGGGAAAACAUCCGGGAAAGUAUUCCCGGUGUUUUGCGUUUUCGACAGAUGAACCGGAGAGGGAAAGUUGCGUGUUUGCUAUGCUAGGGAUGUGUGGCGGAUAAACGGACUGCGUAUUCGGAUUGGUCUCGUCGUUCUGAGCAACUUUCAUAUACAAAGCAUUUUCAUCCAAGUUAUGGAUUAUUUUAUAUUAAUUUUUAAAGAUUUAAUUCAUUUUUAGAAUUAACAGAAUUAAUUUAAUUAAGAAAUGCCAUUAUGACGCCAGCAUGACAUCAGGGUGAUGUCAGCAGUCAACAGUCAAUUGACUUGGUCAAACUGACGCGUGGGUCCCAUUGUCAUUGGCCAAGAUUAACUAAAACAGAUUAAUUAGUUUAAUUAGUGAUUAGGUUAAUCUAAUCAGGUUUAAUUAACUUAAUUACUCACUUAAUUAAUUAAUAAUUUUAUUUAUUAUUAUUAUUUUAAGUCUUUUUUUAAAACAUUCUGGGGCUGGGCCCCGACUGUCAUUGGGCCAAGGGCCUUAGCUGGUGUGGGGUUUACGGGCGCCGGGCGUGGGCACCCGAACAGGCGAGUCCAGAGCGGAGCUAGCCGGGGCGCCGCGGGUGGCUCGCCGGAGCGCGGCCACGGCGAGUAGACGAGGGAGGGCGCAAGGAGGAGCCAAGGCGCGUGAGAGGAAUGUCGGAGGCAGGGGCACGGGAGCACUCCGCAAGCUGGCGCGCCACGCACGAGUGGGCGAGGGCGGGGGUUGCAGUGGUGGUGGCAGCAGCGCCGCAGCAAAGCAGCAGCUGCGGCAGCUCAUGGCGGGGCACGGCCAGGAGCGGCAAGGGAGGCGACGGCGUGGCCGACGCGGUCGUCGAGCAGGAGGGUAUGCGGGCAUGGACAGACCUGGAGCGCACGGGGGUACGGGGCGGGGCGUGCUCGACCGCAAGGCAGAGACGGGGCGGAGGCGAGCGUACUGCAUGGGCGCGAGGUAGACGAGCGCGGUGUCCGCGGAUGAAAAGAAGGGGAGAGGGGAGGCAGAGGCCGAGGGCCUCACCAGCGUUUGCAGGGGCACAUGGGCGUCGAGGCUUGGGGGCGACCCGUGGGGAGGAGGACGGGGACGAUCGACGGAGACGGGAGUCGAGGUAGUCGAGGCAGAGAGGCUCCGAGAGGGUGGCUCCAGUGACUGGACCUCCAGGCGGCGGCGGUUGGUGUCGAAGGGGGCUCGGGAACGCUCCCUCGAUCCAGAUAGGAUCGAGAGGGNNNNNNNNNNNNNNNNNNNNNNNNNNNNNNNNNNNNNNNNNNNNNNNNNNNNNNNNNNNNNNNNNNNNNNNNNNNNNNNNNNNNNNNNNNNNNNNNNNNNNNNNNNNNNNNNNNNNNNNNNNNNNNNNNNNNNNNNNNNNNNNNNNNNNNNNNNNNNNNNNNNNNNNNNNNNNNNNNNNNNNNNNNNNNNNNNNNNNNNNNNNNNNNNNNNNNNNNNNNNNNNNNNNNNNNNNNNNNNNNNNNNNNNNNNNNNNNNNNNNNNNNNNNNNNNNNNNNNNNNNNNNNNNNNNNNNNNNNNNNNNNNNNNNNNNNNNNNNNNNNNNNNNNNNNNNNNNNNNNNNNNNNNNNNNNNNNNNNNNNNNNNNNNNNNNNNNNNNNNNNNNNNNNNNNNNNNNNNNNNNNNNNNNNNNNNNNNNNNNNNNNNNNNNNNNNNNNNNNNNNNNNNNNNNNNNNNNNNNNNNNNNNNNNNNNNNNNNNNNNNNNNNNNNNNNNNNNNNNNNNNNNNNNNNNNNNNNNNNNNNNNNNNNNNNNNNNNNNNNNNNNNNNNNNNNNNNNNNNNNNNNNNNNNNNNNNNNNNNNNNNNNNNNNNNNNNNNNNNNNNNNNAUUUAUUUUUCUUUCUACUAUUUUAAAUUUUUGAUCCACAUUAUUUUUACUUAGUAAAAUAUGACAACAACUCCAAAAAUAACGUUUCAAAAUAACCCUCGCCACAAAAGGUUUUAACCCAAAAUAAAUUAGUUUUGUGUUUUAUAAAAUACCAAAGGCAUUUAAAAAAUGUUUUUGCUAUGGCCCUGGUCGGCGUCCGCGGUUGUUUCAUAAUAACACGCUUAACGAGAUCUUGGUAUUUGAUUUGAGUCUUGCCACUGGCCUAUACGCACUAACCAACUACGUGGGAAGGAUAUGGGCACUCGACGUCGUGGUAUCAGCCGAAGCCUUCUUGACGUCAGCGAUGGAGCGGCGCGCGCCGGAUUGGACUGGAACGCCUACUCUUGUAUAAGGGAGGCUAGGUCUGCUUCCGGCCGCCCUCGCAACGUGCAGGUGUGCAAUGGGCGAUGGGCCCAGACCCCUGCGCGCAUAGGAUUUAGACCGGCGUGUUGAUCUCUCUGUUGUGCCUAGGUGGGGCUGCGACGUGUUGAUCUUCCGAGGCCGGGCAUGACCCAGGAAAGUGUGUCCGGCCAAAUGGGAUCGAGCGUGUUGGGUUAUGUGGUGCACCCCUGCAGGGAAGUUAAUCUAUUCGAAUAGCCGUGAUCUUCGGUAACAGGAUGACUUGGAUUUGUACCUUGACCUUAUGACAACUAGAACCGGAUACUUAACAAAACACACCCUUCCAAGUGCCAGAUACAACCCGGUGAUCGCUCUCUAACAGGGCGACAAGGAGAGGAUUGCCGGGUAGGAUUAUGCUAUGCAUUGCUACUUGGAGGACUUCAAUCUACUCUCUUCUACAUGCUGCAAGACGGAGGCUGCCAGAAGCGUAGUCUUUGACAGGAUUAGCUAUCCCCCUAUUAUUCUGGCAUUCUGCAGUUCAGUCCACCGAUAUGGCCCUUUACACAUAUACUCAUGCAUAUGUAGUGUAGAUCCUUGCUUGCGAGUACUUUGGAUGAGUACUCACGGUUGCUUUCUCCCCCCUUUUCCCCCCCUUUCCUUUCUUUCUGGUUGUCGCAACCAGAUGCUGGAGUCCAGGAGCCAGACG